ACGCGUGUGUGAGAGGCCUAGGGGUAAAGCACUUCAAUUGGAAGGAAAAACUCAUGGCCAAUACCCGUGAGCUUGACAUUACCUUUAGAAGAAGCACCGGCUAACUCCGUGCCAGCAGCCGCGGUAAUACGGAGGGUGCAAGCGUUAAUCGGAAUUACUGGGCGUAAAGCGUGCGUAGGCGGCUCGCUAAGUCAGAUGUGAAAGCCCCGGGCUCAACCUGCGAACGGCAUUUGAAACUGGCAAGCUAGAGUUUAGGAGAGGAGAGUGGAAUUUCAGGUGUAGCGGUGAAAUGCGUAGAGAUCUGAAGGAACACCAGUGGCGAAGGCGACUCUCUGGCCUAAAACUGACGCUGAGGUACGAAAGCGUGGGUAGCAAACAGGAUUAGAUACCCUGGUAGUCCACGCCGUAAACGAUGUCAACUAGCCGAUGGAUCUCUUAGAGAGUAAGUGGCGCAGCUAACGCAUUAAGUUGACCGACUGAGGAGUACGGACGCAAGGUUAAAACUCAAAUGAAUUGACGGGGGCC
rnacentral:rRNA from 1 species